UUGGAUGAAUUCUGUGUGUCCUUUUGGAAAUGUGGAGGCCAUGAGGGGGGAUCAGGGCUCUUAGGGUUUUGACCCUUAAGAGUUUUGUAUCUGUAAUUCAAAGGUUCUUUAGUUCUGGGAUGCUGAGAUUCGGGAUAGGGUUCCUAAUGGCACAAAAGCCAGAGAUAAAACAUCCUUCACGUGCUCCCUACCCGGUUCUUUCUGUACCAGACCCACAAGGUCCGAGUUGGGAUCCUAGUGCUCCUGUCUGGUCAGGGCCUAUCUUUAUGUGUUCGUUAAACUUUUAACAAUGAGAAUUAAUUCUGUCUCUUGACAUUGUCAUUUGCAUGCUCCCCACACACAAAUCCUUUCCUGGUGACACCAGGAGCUACAACUCUCCUUGGCCUCCUCUUGUGACUCCCAACUCCCUCCUUGGGAAGCUUGGCCUCAGGACCUCUGGGAUAGACAGGCCACGAAUCCUGCUGUGUCCCGUUGUGUUCCUAAUAUAAAUGGUGUGGAUGGCACUUGACCUAGAGCAGUGGGAAAUGCAUGCACCACUCAACAUUCUGACAUGUCACCCAUUUUACAUUCUUACAGGCAUACUUUUUUUAAAAAAAGAGUGUCUAUUCUUUAAUGAGCAUCCCUUCUUUAAAAAAACCUAAUUGCCAUUAUUCACCACAUACACUUUUUUUUUUUUGUAUCCUGCCUCUUCUAUUUAAUUUUCUGUCAUCAACAUUUUCCCUUGUUCCAUGAAUCUUCAUAACCUCACUUGCUGCGUUGUGCCUUGUUGAGUGGCUAUGGCAUCAUUCACAGAACCAUUCUGUUAUUCUUAUGUAUAACCACCUUUUAAAAAUAUUAUGAAUAAUGCCACAACUAACUGCUUAAAACACCCUUUUUUUCAUUCUUAAGAAUUAUGUUCUUCCACCCAGAAAUUAUCAUUGCUUCACUACAGAUCAGUUUCCCCUGCUAGACUGUGAGCCCCAUAAGGGCAAGGAGCUUAUUGAAUUGGCCUUUGUAUCUCUGAUGCCCAACAUGUUGUAGACUAUAAAUAAAUGAUGAAUGAGUGGAUGGAAGAAUGGAGGAAGGAGCGAGUGAGUGAGUGUUUGGCUGAUGGAUAAGAGGGUGGAAGGAUAGGCGGAAGGAUGGAUUGGUGAAUGAAUGAAUGAAUUUCCUUUGGUUAAGUCUCUUGAAAGAAAGGCUAUGGAUCUUUGUAUGGAUGUUGAAUAAUUUCAGUAAGCUUACAGCAUUUUACAAUGUUCAGCAAUGUAUGACCACUUAAUUAAGAUAUGGCUAGUUUGUCUCUGUUAUAAAGUACUUUUGCAUUACUUUAA
rnacentral:lncRNA from 10 species